GGGCGUUUAGCUCAGUGGUAGAGCGUUUCGUUGACAUCGAAAAGGUCGGAGGUCCAAUCCCUCCAACGCCCACCA
rnacentral:tRNA from 1 species